UACGUAGGCAGCAAGCGUUGUUCGGAUUUACUGGGUUUAAAGGGUGCGUAGGUGGGUUGGGAAGUCAGUGGUGAAAUACUUUCGCUUAACGAAGGAACUGCCAUUGAUACUAUCAAUCUUGAAUGUAGUGGAGGUAGGCGGAAUGCGUCAUGUAGCGGUGAAAUGCUUAGAUAUGACGCAGAACACCAAUUGCGAAGGCAGCUUGCUACACUACUAUUGACACUGAGGCACGAAAGCGUGGGGAUCAAACAGG
rnacentral:rRNA from 1 species